rnacentral:rRNA from 1 species
UACGUAGGUGACAAGCGUUGUCCGGAUUUACUGGGCGUAAAGAGCGCGUAGGCGGUCGUUUAAGUCGAGGGUGAAAGCCCCCGGCUCAACUGGGGAGGGUCAUUCGAUACUGAUCGACUCGAAGGCAGGAGAGGGUAGUGGAAUUCCCGGUGUAGUGGUGAAAUGCGUAGAUAUCGGGAGGAACACCAGUGGCGAAGGCGACUACCUGGCCUGUUCUUGACGCUGAGGCGCGAAAGCUAGGGGAGCAAACGGG